GACGAACCGUCCGAACGUUAUUCGGUAUCACUGGGCUUAAAGCGUGCGUAGGCGGCCUGGUAGGUGAGAUGUGAAAGCCCACGGCUCAACCGUGGAAUUGCGUUUCAAACCACCAGGCUGGAGGAUGGCAGGGGUGAUGGGAACUGAUGGUGGAGCGGUGAAAUGCGUUGAUAUCAUCAGGAACACCGGUGGCGAAGGCGCAUCACUGGGCCAUUUCUGACGCUGAGGCACGAAAGCUAGGGUAGCGAACGGGAUUAGAUA
rnacentral:rRNA from 1 species